rnacentral:rRNA from 1 species
GACGAACGCUGGCGGCGUGCCUAAUACAUGCAAGUAGAACGCUGAAGGAGGAGCUUGCUCUUCUGGAUGAGUUGCGAACGGGUGAGUAACGCGUAGGUAACCUGCCUGGUAGCGGGGGAUAACUAUUGGAAACGAUAGCUAAUACCGCAUAACAGUAGAUGUUGCAUGACAUUUGCUUAAAAGGUGCAAUUGCACCACUACCAGAUGGACCUGCGUUGUAUUAGCUAGUUGGUGGGGUAACGGCUCGCCAAGGCGACGAUACAUAGCCGACCUGAGAGGGUGAUCGGCCACACUGGGACUGAGACACGGCCCAGACUCCUACGGGAGGCAGCAGUAGGGAAUCUUCGGCAAUGGACGGAAGUCUGACCGAGCAACGCCGCGUGAGUGAAGAAGGUUUUCGGAUCGUAAAGCUCUGUUGUAAGAGAAGAACGAGUGUGAGAGUGGAAAGUUCACACUGUGACGGUAUCUUACCAGAAAGGGACGGCUAACUACGUG